UGUCUUUUCUUUCUUUUUUCUAUUUCCCUUUCUUUUCCUUUAAUUAAUCUUUUCUAAUCCACUGCCCGCACCAAAAUUCGACCCCCAUCUCCUACUAUGUUCUCUCUCUCUCUCGCGACUUUGCUUCAGCUACUUCGUCGUAGAUGCUAAGAGAGACUUUCAAGUCCAAUACUCAAUAUGCCAUGGGGGAAAUGCAAUACUGAGACUCGCUUCCUAAUGACCAUCCAGAGAUUGCAGAUUUGUACCAGCUCUAGCUUCGGCAUCAACCAUCUCUUAAACUCGAAUAGUUUGUCGAUUUCUCCUUUUUCAGGUGAAGCAAGUGAAGAAAGGUAGACAGUAACAAUGAAGAACUUGUUGGUAUUGAGUGAUCGUUGCUAGAGUUUCAGAUGUUCUAGGAAUCAUUUAUUUGGUAGAACUUAUUGAAAACUUAUGUAUGCCAACCCUUGAAUUGUCAAACACUAUUUUAUAUUUUGUUUUUAUAUAUGGAUAAUACAAGUUAUAUUUUGGAUUAUGAUUUUAGUGAUGAAGAGUUUCAUUUGUGAU